CCUACGGGAGGCAGCAGUCGAGAAUCAUUCACAAUGGGGGAAACCCUGAUGGUGCGACGCCGCGUGGGGGAAUGAAGGUCUUCGGAUUGUAAACCCCUGUCAUGUGGGAGCAAAUUAAAAAGAUAGUACCACAAGAGGAAGAGACGGCUAACUCUGUGCCAGCAGCCGCGGUAAUACAGAGGUCUCAAGCGUUAUUCGGAAGUACUGGGCGUAAAGCGGGCGUAGGCGGUUUCGUAAGUCGUGUGUGAAAGGCGCGGGCUCAACCCGCGGACGGCACAUGAUACUGCGAGACUAGAGUAAAGGAGGGGGAACCGGAAUUCUCGGUGUAGCAGUGAAAUGCGUAGAUAUCGGGAGGAACACUGGUGGCGAAGGCGGGUUCCUGGACAUUAACUGACGCUGAGGCACGAAGGCCAGGGGAGCGAAAGGGAUUAGAUACCCCUGUAGUC
rnacentral:rRNA from 1 species